rnacentral:snRNA from 1 species
GGAGGGCAAUUUGGCCGAACAUCUGUUAUCACAUUGAUCACCAGAGGUGGCUCAGCUGAUCUGGCCAGCUAGGUGGGUGUCCCUUCCUCUUUCACGGCUCCACAUUCUCUCCUCUCGAAGCUGCACACUCGCUUGCAGAGGCCAACCUUCUCCGACAGAAGGAGGACUGUCUUUAGGUUGCGGGUAUCUGAGUAGGUGUGCUCACACUACAACCUCCAGGCAAGCUCUCAAAGCACAUCUGAGUAGAAGCACGGAUGAGCAGCCUCCUCAAAAUACAGUCGGCAUUAAUGA